CGGUUGUCGCGCCAGCGGCAUAGCCGGGUAGCUAUGUUUGGAAGGGAUAACCGCUGAAAGCAUCUAAGCGGGAAGCCUGCCUCAAGAUAAGAUUUCUCUUCCGGGUUCGCCCGGACUGUAGACCCCUGGGAGAUUACCAGGUUGAUAGGUUGCAGGUGUAAGCGUGGUAACACGUUCAGCCGAGCAAUACUAAUCGGUCGUGAGACUUGACCAU
rnacentral:rRNA from 1 species